UACGGGAGGCAGCAGUGGGGAAUAUUGCACAAUGGGCGCAAGCCUGAUGCAGCCAUGCCGCGUGUAUGAAGAAGGCCUUCGGGUUGUAAAGUACUUUCAGUCGUGAGGAAGGUGUUAAGGUUAAUAACCUUAGCAAUUGACGUUAGCGACAGAAGAGGCACCGGCUAACUCCGUGCCAGCAGCCGCGGUAAUACGGAGGGUGCGAGCGUUAAUCGGAAUUACUGGGCGUAAAGGGCACGCAGGCGGUUAAUUAAGUUGGAUGUGAAAUCCCCGGGCUUAACCUGGGAAUGGCAUUCAAGACUGGUUAGCUAGAGUCUUGUAGAGGGGGUAGAAUUCCAUGUGUAGCGGUGAAAUGCGUAGAGAUGUGGAGGAAUACCGGUGGCGAAGGCGGCCCCUGGCAAAGACUGACGCUCAUGUGCGAAAGCGUGGGGAGCGAAACAGGGAUUAGAUACC
rnacentral:rRNA from 1 species